rnacentral:lncRNA from 1 species
AUCUUAACUAGUCAGCAGCAUUGAGCUGAUUCUGAUAAUUUCUGGAGUUACAAAAUAGCUAAGAAUGUGACAAAGCAAGCCUGACAAUCUGAGUGAAUGUGGAGAGCAGGCAUCAGAGCAACAUGUUACAAUCACAAAGGAGUAAAGGGUGACUUGGCACAUCCCUGCCCAAGUAAGAAUUCAUCCUAUCUUCCCCACCAGCUGGCCCA